UCCUGGAUAGCUCAGCUGGUAGAGCGUUGGGCUCAUAAUCUCAGGGUCAUGGGUUUGAGCCCCACGUUGGGCA